rnacentral:rRNA from 1 species
UACAGAGGUCCCGAGCGUUGUUCGGAUUCAUUGGGCGUAAAGGGUGCGUAGGCGGCGGGGCAAGUCUGAUGUGAAAUCCUGGGGCUCAACCCCAGAACUGCAUUGGAUACUGCUUUGCUAGAGUACUGGAGAGGGAACUGGAAUUUACGGUGUAGCAGUGAAAUGCGUAGAGAUCGUAAGGAAGGCCAGUGGCGAAGGCGGGUCUCUGGACAGUUCCUGACGCUGAGGCACGAAGGUCAGGGGAGCAAACGGG